GACGAACGCUGGCGGCGUGCUUAACACAUGCAAGUCGAACGGAAAGGCCCUGCUUUUGUGGGGUGCUCGAGUGGCGAACGGGUGAGUAACACGUGAGUAACCUGCCCUUGACUUUGGGAUAACUUCAGGAAACUGGGGCUAAUACCGGAUAGGAGCUCCUGCUGCAUGGUGGGGGUUGGAAAGUUUCGGCGGUUGGGGAUGGACUCGCGGCUUAUCAGCUUGUUGGUGGGGUAGUGGCUUACCAAGGCUUUGACGGGUAGCCGGCCUGGGAGGGUAACCGGCCACAUUGGGACUGGGAUACGGCCCAGACUCCUACGGGAGGCAGCAGUGGGGAAUAUUGCACAAUGGGCGGAAGCCUGAUGCGGCAACGCCGCGUGCGGGAUGACGGCCUUCGGGUUGUAAACCGCUUUCGCCUGUGACGAAGCGUGAGUGACGGUAAUGGGUAAAGAAGCACCGGCUAACUACGUG
rnacentral:rRNA from 1 species